rnacentral:rRNA from 1 species
UAGCGUAGGGGGCAAGGCGUUGUCCGGAAUCAUUGGGCGUAAAGAGCUCGUAGGCGGUCUGUCGCGUCUGCUGUGAAAAACUCAGGGCUUAACCCUGAGCUUGCAGUGGGGUACGGGCAGACUAGAGUGCGGUAGGGGGAGAGUGGAAUUCCCGGUGUAGCGGUGAAAUGCGCAGAUAUCGAGAGGAACACCUGCGGCGAAGGCGGGUUGCUGGGCCGACACUGACGCUGAUGCGCGAAAGCCAGGGGAGCGAACGGGG